rnacentral:rRNA from 1 species
GACGAACGCUGGCGGCGUGCUUAACACAUGCAAGUCGAACGGAAAGGCCCUGCUUUUGUGGGGUGCUCGAGUGGCGAACGGGUGAGUAACACGUGAGUAACCUGCCCUUGACUUUGGGAUAACUUCAGGAAACUGGGGCUCAUACCGGAUAGGAGCUCCUGCUGCAUGGUGGGGGUUGGAAAGUUUCGGCGGUUGGGGAUGGACUCGCGGCUUAUCAGCUUGUUGGUGGGGUAGUGGCUUACCAAGGCUUUGACGGGUAGCCGGCCUGAGAGGGUGACCGGCCACAUUGGGACUGAGAUACGGCCCAGACUCCUACGGGAGGCAGAAGUGGGGUAUAUUGCACAAUGGGCGGAAGCCUGAUGCAGCAACGCCGCGUGCGGGAUGACGGCCUUCGGGGUGUAAACCGCUUUCGCCUGUGACGAAGCGUGAGUGACGGUAAUGGGUAAAGAAGCACCGGCUAACUACGUG